CAGUAGCCGCGGUAAUACGAAGGGGGCUAGCGUUGCUCGGAAUUACUGGGCGUAAAGGGAGCGUAGGCGGAUGUUUAAGUCAGAGGUGAAAGCCCAGGGCUCAACCUUGGAACUGCCUUUGAUACUGGACAUCUUGAGUAUGGGAGAGGUAAGCGGAACUCCGAGUGUAGAGGUGAAAUUCGUAGAUAUUCGGAAGAACACCAGUGGCGAAGGCGGCUUACUGGCCCAUUACUGACGCUGAGGCUCGAAAGCGUGGGGAGCAAACAGGAUUAGAUACCCCCGUAGUCCCUGUCUCUUAUAC
rnacentral:rRNA from 1 species